rnacentral:rRNA from 1 species
UACGGAGGGGGCGAGCGUUGUCCGAAUUUAUUGGGCGUAAAGCGCGUGUAGGCGGACCUACAAGCCUUUGGUGAAAGCCUGGAGCUCAACUCCAGAACUGCCGAAGGGACUGUGGGUCUGGAGGCCGGCAGGAGGAGAGUGGAAUUCCUGGUGUAGCGGUGGAAUGCGUAGAGAUCAGGAAGAACACCCAUGGCGAAGGCAGCUCUCUGGGCCGGUACUGACGCUGAGACGCGAAGCGUGGGAGCGAACGGG